CAUGAUGUAGAUGGUUUGGACGAUUUCUCGAAGGUCAGGGUCACUACGGAUGUCACACGAUUUGAUACUUGUUUACUGGAUGAACUCAAAGAGUCAACAAAAUCUUACCUCAAGAUACAUUAAUAUUGAACCAAGAAGAAUGAUGCAGAGAAACUGUGGACUGGCUGACUUGAUGACCUUAAAACACAUCAGAACGAUAAUCCCUAAUGCAAUAAGUACAGCGACAAUGGUGAUGCUCGUCAAGGCGUAACGCAAUGGCCAGUUUAAAGUCACGACACACGGCGAAUCGUCGACGCACGUCA